CGUAGGUGCAAGCGUUAAUCGGAAUUACUGGACGUAAAGCGUGCGCAGGCGGUUUGUAAGUCUGAUGUGAAAGCCCCGGGCUCAACCUGGGAAUUGCAUUGGAGACUGCAAGGCUUGAAUCUGGCAGAGGGGUAGAAUUCCACGUGUAGCAGUGAAAUGCGUAGAGAUGUGGAGGAACACCGAUGGCGAAGGCAGCCCCCUGGGUCAAGAUUGACGCUCAUGCACGAAAGCGUGGGAGCAAACAGGAUU
rnacentral:rRNA from 1 species